GAAAUGCGAUAAGUAGUGUGAAUUGCAGAAUUCAGUGAAUCAUCGAAUCUUUGAACGCACAUUGCGCCCUUUGGUAUUCCAAAGGGCAUGCCUGUUCGAGCGUCAUUUGUACCCUCAAGCUUUGCUUGGUGUUGGGCGUCUUGUCUCCAGUUCGCUGGGGACUCGCCUUAAAGUUAUUGGCAGCCGGCCUACUGGUUUCGGAGCGCAGCACAAGUCGCGCUCUCUUCCAGCCAAGGUCAGCAUCCACAAAGCCUUUUUUCAACUUUUGACCUCGGAUCUGGUAGGGAUACCCGCUGAACUUAAGC
rnacentral:misc_RNA from 1 species